rnacentral:rRNA from 1 species
UACGUAGGGUGCGAGCGUUGUCCGGAAUUAUUGGGCGUAAAGCGCACGUAGGCGGCAUCGCAAGUCGGAUGUGAAAUCUUAUGGCUUAACCAUAAAAGUGCAUCCGAAACUGCAGUGCUUGAGUACUUAAGAGGAUCGCGGAAUUCCCGGUGUAGAGGUGAAAUUCGUAGAUAUCGGGAGGAACACCAGUGGCGAAGGCGGCGAUCUGGGAAGAUACUGACGCUGAGGUGCGAAAGCGUGGGGAGCAAACAGG